rnacentral:rRNA from 1 species
CAGUCGUACCUUCGGGUAAUCAGCCUUUUGGGUGUGAUUUUGUGGAGCGUGAAGAGUUAAACGCCUUCAUGCCUGCAUAUUCGUGCACUUUGGGUGUACUUGCUCGUGUGGUUUGUUAACAUCAAUUUCGGGCACCAUAAAAUGGCU